GCAGGACAGGAAACAGUUCCUCAGGAGACAGCCGGGUGUGGCCUAGAUGGAGGAAGCCCUGUGCAGGCUGCCGGAGGAGCAAGGGAGAGGCUGGAGACCCAGGAGGGCUCUAAAAGGAUGGGAAUUCCUCUUGUCCCCACAGCCUACCAGGGUGGGCCUGGCCAACACCAGGAGGAAGAACCCAGCCCUACUGUGGGCAGAAACUGGAAACCGUAAAUGGACAACAUGGCCGCUCUAUGGAUCUGGAACUCCAGAAGACCCAGCUUGCCAGUACCGUCUUUCUAGAAGGACUAGUCAAGGAUAAGAGUCAAGAGGCAUCUGAAGGGAGGAGAGACUGCAAUCACCUCCUCUGCCCCUUGGGCCCAGUGGCCACCUCCCUUCAGCCUCUGCCCCUGGCCUUCUCACCUUG